UUCCAGACUCCUACGGGAGGCAGCAGUGGGGGAUAUUGCACAAUGGGGGGAACCCUGAUGCAGCGACGCCGCGUGGGUGAAGGAGCGUUUCGGCGCGUAAAGCCCUAUCGGCAGGGAAGAAGGAGGACGGUACCUGACUAAGAAGCCCCGGCUAACUACGUGCCAGCAGCCGCGGUAAUACGUAGGGAGCGAGCGUUGUCCGGAAUUACUGGGUGUAAAGGGAGCGUAGGCGGGGAUGCAAGUUGGAUGUUUAAACUAUCGGCUCAACCGGUAAUUGCAACCAAAACUGCAACUCUUGAGUGAAGUAGAGGCAGGCGGAAUUCCUAGUGUAGCGGUGAAAUGCGUAGAUAUUAGGAGGAACACCAGUGGCGAAGGCGGCCUGCUGGGCUUUAACUGACGCUGAGGCUCGAAAGCGUGGGGAGCAAACAGGAUUAGAUACCCUGGUA
rnacentral:rRNA from 1 species